rnacentral:rRNA from 1 species
GUGCUUAACACAUGCAAGUCGAACGAUGAAGCUGGAGCUUGCUCCGGUGGAUUAGUGGCGAACGGGUGAGUAACACGUGAGCAAUCUGCCCUUGACUCUGGGAUAACUGCGGGAAACUGUAGCUAAUACCGGAUACGACACCUUGGGGCAUCCCAGGGUGUGGAAAGAAUUUCGGUCAAGGAUGAGCUCGCGGCCUAUCAGCUAGUUGGUGAGGUAAUGGCUCACCAAGGCGACGACGGGUAGCCGGCCUGAGAGGGUGACCGGCCACACUGGAACUGAGACACGGUCCAGACUCCUACGGGAGGCAGCAGUGGGGAAUAUUGCACAAUGGGCGAAAGCCUGAUGCAGCAACGCCGCGUGAGGGAUGAAGGCCUUCGGGUUGUAAACCUCUUUUAGCAGGGAAGAAGCGAAAGUGACGGUACCUGCAGAAAAAGCACCGGCUAACUACGUGCCAGCAGCCGCGGUAAUACGUAGGGUGCAAGCGUUGUCCGGAAUUAUUGGGCGUAAAGAGCUCGUAGGCGGUUUGUCGCGUCUGCUGUGAAAAUCCGAGGCUCAACCUCGGACCUGCAGUGGGUACGGGCAAACUAGAGUGCGGUAGGGGAGAUGGGAAUUCCUGGUGUAGCGGUGGAAUGCGCAGAUAUCAGGAGGAACACCGAUGGCGAAGGCACAUCUCUGGGCCGUAACUGACGCUGAGGAGCGAAAGCGUGGGGAGCGAACAGGAUUAGAUACCCUGGUAGUCCACGCCGUAAACGGUGGGUGCUAGUUGUGGGCUCCAUUCCACGGAGUCCGUGACGAAGUUAACACAUUAAGCACCCCGCCUGGGGAGUACGGUCGCAAGACUAAAACUCAAGGGAAUUGACGGGGGCCCGCACAAGCGGCGGAGCAUGCGGAUUAAUUCGAUGCACCGCGAAGAACCUUACCAAGG